UACGAAGGGGGCUAGCGUUGCUCGGAAUCACUGGGCGUAAAGGGUGCGUAGGCGGGUCUUUAAGUCAGGGGUGAAAUCCUGGAGCUCAACUCCAGAACUGCCUCUGAUACUGGAGAGCUAGAGUCCGGAAGAGGUGAGUGGAACUGCGAGUGUAGAGGUGAAAUUCGUAGAUAUUCGCAAGAACACCAGUGGCGAAGGCGGCUCACUGGUCCGGUACUGACGCUGAGGUGCGAAAGCGUGGGGAGCAAACAGG
rnacentral:rRNA from 1 species